rnacentral:rRNA from 1 species
GAUGAACGCUGGCGGCGUGCCUAAUACAUGCAAGUCGAGCGAACGGACGAGAAGCUUGCUUCUCUGAUGUUAGCGGCGGACGGGUGAGUAACACGUGGAUAACCUACCUAUAAGACUGGGAUAACUUCGGGAAACCGGAGCUAAUACCGGAUAAUAUUUUGAACCGCAGGGUUCAAAAGUGAAAGACGGUCUUGCUGUCACUUAUAGAUGGAUCCGCGCUGCAGUAGCUAGUUGGUAAGGUAAAGGCUUACCAAGGCAGCUAUGCAUAGCCGACGUGAGAGGGUGGUCGGCCACCCUGGCACGGAGACACGGUCCAGACUCCUACGGGAGGCAGCAGUAGGGAAUCUUCCGCAGUGGGCGAAAGCCUGACGGAGCAACGCCGCGUGAGUGAUGAAGGUCUUCGGAUCGUAAAACUCUGUUAUUAGGGAAGAACAUAUGUGUAAGUACCUGUGCACAUCUUGACGGUACCUAAUCAGAAAGCCACGGCUAACUACGUG